UACGUAGGGGGCUAGCGUUGUCCGGAUUUAUUGGGCGUAAAGAGCGUGUAGGCGGCCAGGUAGGUCCGGUGUGAAAACUCGAGGCUUAACCUCGAGAUGUCGGCGGAAACCAUCUGGCUAGAGUCCGGAAGAGGAGAAUGGAAUUCCCGGUGUGGCGGUGAAAUGCGCAGAUAUCGGGAAGAACACCCGUGGCGAAGGCGGUUCUCUGGGACGGUACUGACGCUGAGACGCGAAAGCGUGGGGAGCGAACAGG
rnacentral:rRNA from 1 species